rnacentral:rRNA from 2 species
UACGGAGGGUGCAAGCAUUAAUCGGAUUUAUUGGGCGUAAAGGGCGCGUAGGUGGGUUUGUAAGUCAAGUGUGAAAUUCCGGGGCUCAACUUCGGAACUGCACGUGAAACUACAAGUCUUGAGGAUUGGCGGAGAAAACGGAAUUCCACAAGUAGCGGUGAAAUGCGUAGAUAUGUGGAAGAACACCGGUGGCGAAGGCGGUUUUCUAGCUUAUUCCUGACACUGAGGCGCGAAAGCAAGGGGAUCAAACAGG